CGUUAUGGCGGGCCGUGCGUGGGCGGGCUUCGGCCCGGCCGGGUACCUCUGACCCCGGUUGACCAACCCGCGCACGGUUCGCCUCCAUU
rnacentral:antisense_RNA from 1 species